GGUCGCUUCUCUCCUAAUCAAAAUCAAAUUCAGACACCAGUCGACUCUUCAUUGUCACUGUCCUUUAGUUCAAUUCGGCAUCCAUCAAUUGGAGUUCCACAGUCAACUGGGUUGACCCUUUCUUCUUGCAGCCCGGUAUCUUGGACUACCCUUUAUUGGCCAUGCCCUCUUCUUUUCAGCAGGGUCAUUGGCUUUGAGUAACUAAUUGCAUGGACGUCAACGACAAUGAACUUUGUAAUUUAUUUCAAUUUUUUCUUCCUGUAAAGCUCAACAGGACAUCAGUAUGAUGUCCAUAAAUGGACAUGCCCCGCAAUACGUUUGCUUCUUGGGGAGUAUAGUUCGGAAAUACAUGAUGAACAAAUUGGAAUAUGGAGGAGAAAAUUUGUACAGGAUUCUCGACUUCAUUCUUGCGUUAUAUCAACAGAGUAAUCAAAUUUUUCUAGGUGCUCGCA